CGCAUUGUUUUUAUUCGGCUGAAAUUUCCAUUCAACGAUAAGGCACUGAUUAAAUUUUUAAUUUGAUUGCAUUUUUUGGUUCGGAAAUUUACAAAACAGUUGAAUGUGCGUGAUAAUUCUACAAUAAGAAGUGCUGUGGAUGUAGUGCUGUGGUGCCAAUUGAAACGACUAUUUCAUGUGUGGAAUUUCCUUGAAAGCUUCAACUAUGUCAAAAAUAUAGAAAUACUUUCACAAAGUUCCGGGUGACACGGAGAAAGCCAAAUGCGUAAAAUGUUCUCAAAUUCUCGCAUGCAAGGGUUCUUCAACCAGCGGCUUACUGAGGCAUCUGAGCUAUAAACAUAAACUUGUUCUAAAGCGUACUGCCGUCGAUGACAAAGAUGCUGGAACCUCCAGUGAUAAGAUUUCCAAGCCUGCAUCAAUGUUAAACUUUGUGAAACGUCGGCGCGGAGAAAUCGGAGAGCAAAUACAUUCAAAAUGCUCAUUAUUUUAUCUCGAAAUAAAUAAAUGAAUUAAAGUGGUAUUUUUCUUUGGAUUUUACGUCCCAAUUGAAUCCUGGGAAAUGCCAAUUUUUAUUGCCCGUUUCCCGGGUAGUCAACAUUGGUCGGGAAAUGGAAACACUAAACAUGUCUAACUGCAAAUCAACGAAGACCCCGAUGACCGACAAGCUUAACAAGGAAAUGUCACCAAAACCCCAGACGAGACGAACCAUAUAGCAAACAUCACGUAUCAGGAAGCAAUCGGCAGCCUAAUGUACUUGGCUCAAUGUAUCCGACCAGAUAUUCUUUUCGCUGUGAACGUUACAAUUAAAAUCCAGGAAUGCAACAUUGGAGUGCUGUCAAGCAUUUGUUUCGUUACCUCCGUAGAACUUUGAAAAUGAAAGUGGUGUAAAAGAAGGAUGCCAAGUUAUUGGAUACAGUGACGUGGACUGGGCAGGUGAUCUGGAAUUCAGGAAAUCAACAAGUGGUUACAUAUUCAAGGUUGGUUGGUUGGUUGUCUUUAAUAAGGAGAUAUUCAGCCAGACGCUAGUUCAUCUCCGGGACUCAAGCUAAAGGGUGCAGCGAUUUCCUGGUGCUGUAAGCGGCAGCCUACGAUCGCUUUAUCUACGUGUGAAGCUGAGUAUUUGGGCCUAUCUGCAGCAGUUCAAGAAGCAGCGUGGUGGAAAGGAUUGAUGUCACAAUUCUAAGAGACUCGUUCGAUCAAGAUCCUUUGUGACAAUCAAAGCACAAUUGCCGUUGCUAACCCUAAUAAAAUUGUUAUUGUUAAACCAUUUGAAGAAUAGCUCAAUUGUUUGGGUUAUCGUUCGUUUAUGGUAUUUUUUAUUAGGGAAAGCUGGUGGUUAUAAUCCCAGGACAAAGCAUACCGAUAUUAGGCAUCACUAUUUUCAAGAUGCACUGAAGAAAGAAGUGGUCAACAUUGAUUAUGACAACUCUGAAGACCCACUCGCUGAUGGUCUCACGAAACCAUUAACCCACGAAAAGCUAAGCAAAAAUCGUGAAGCCAUAGGAUAUUAGCUUAAGGGGGAGUAUUAGAAUAGUAAGCCAUGACUCCAAUCGACGAAGUAAAUUUCGUCAUUCAGUUAUUGAACGUCAAACGAACAAGUCGUAUUCUCAAUAAAUCAUUACAAUAAAAACACCUUGUUUCU